CUGGAAAGUAGCUCAGUGGUAGAGCAUAUGACCAGCGUGUGCAAGGCCCCGAGUUUAUCCCCAGCA
ensembl:miRNA Mir1957a microRNA 1957a